UUUUUCAGAAAACUGGAACAAGAAACACGGUUAAUUUAUUACUAAGAGCAAAAUCAGAAUUGUCAAGUCUUUUAAGCAGAUCUGGUUCUGGAAUGAAAAUUGAAAAAUCACAAUAUGAAUCAAGUGUCAAAAGUUUAUCUGAAAGACAAAAAAGUGUUGUGAAAAAGAGGGAGCUCCCUCCAUUUGUGCAAGUAGAAGUGCUUCAUUCAGGACAAUUGUUUGUAAGUGUAGUUAUAUUUACAAUAAAUAAAAAAAGAUGUUUUGUGCAUACAAAAUAUAAAAAGAACUUAAAACGGAAACUGCGCUAUAUCUGACUAUGUGGCACCUAAAAAUAUCACAGUGCAAAUACAAUAUUUUACAUGCAACUUUGAUCAGAGAGAAGAAAAAUAUACAAAAGAG
rnacentral:lncRNA from 1 species